rnacentral:rRNA from 1 species
UACGUAGGUGGCAAGCGUUGUCCGGAAUUACUGGGUGUAAAGGGCGUGUAGGCGGGGAUGUAAGUCAGGUGUGAAAUUCCGGAGCUCAACUCCGGCGGUGCAUCUGAAACUAUAUUUCUUGAGUACUGGAGAGGAAAGCGGAAUUCCUAGUGUAGCGGUGAAAUGCGUAGAUAUUAGGAGGAACACCAGUGGCGAAGGCGGCUUUCUGGACAGUAACUGACGCUGAGGCGCGAAAGCGUGGGGAGCAAACAGGAUUAGAUACCCUGGUAGUCCACGCUGUAAACGAUGGAUACUAGGUGUAGGAGGUAUCGACCCCUUCUGUGCCGGAGUUAACACAAUAAGUAUCCCACCUGGGGAGUACGGCCGCAAGGUUG